AAGGGCCGCGAGACGGAAGCCUUAAAACCAACAAUGUUACACAGGAACUCCUCAAAUUACAACCGUUUGAAGUUACAAUCACGCUGAAAGAAUUGACUUGGGACUUGUCCUCGCACUUACGGCCAUCACAGCAUCCCCAUGUGAACGCCAUUUAUAACCGUCCCCCCACCGGCUUCCAACAAGCAAAGUCAACGCGGGAAGCUGGACUUGCUUUCAACAUCUGCACGAUUCGCUUAAGAACGGCAGGGGUUUUCUUCACGACCGUGGCAAAAGAGAGGAAGAAAAAAAGGGUCGUAAAAUCACAGCUCUCUUAACAAUCGCCUUGCUCAGCGAUGGAAAUUCCGCUUCCGGUUGUAAGUUGAGGACUACAUGCAAGGCACACUUUGGUCCUACUCUGCAGGGCGGGGAGCGUGUUUAAACUGCUGGAGAGCCGUGCCAAAAUCAAAGCCACGCCUUCGUUCUCUCUGCCAAGCAUAUAUUUUCUCAGCUGUGCUUGCAUAGUUUGAGAAGAGAAAAACAACAAGCUCUUAAUCUUUUCGGUCUUGUCAAUAUUCAAAAUAUUUCCCCCGGCUUCGCAGACGCCACACCUCCGUUCCCUUACAAAGGAGAGGCUGAACACCCAGCUCGGAUGUUACCCUCCUUCCAGGGCAAAAGCCUCCAUGAGGGACGGCCUGUUUUCCGCCGCCACGGGGGUAAGAACAGGAAGAACAGAGUUGGAAGGGACCUUGGAGGUCUUCUAGUCCAACCCUCUGCUCAGGCAGGAAACCCUAUAAGCCACCUCUGAAGGUGGUAAAUGCGAAGACUCGUGGCCAAGUGACUUUGUCAUCGCUGCGAACGGCUGCUAAAUGAGGCCGUCGCGAACCAAGGACCUCCUGUAUGAUUACUACUGACUUCCAUCCAAGGGGGCCAAUCCCAGCCUUAUGGAAAUACACAGAAUAAUCAAAGGGCAGGGGAUAAUGGUAUUCCGUGUCUGUGGAAAGAUCCAAUUUCCCCCCACACGUUUCUUACCACACCUCUGUAAGGUAGGCUGGUGUUCUGAAACACCAGAUAAGGAACUUACCCCCAGCCACCGCUGGCCUUUGUUAGCUGUGUGAUGGAGCUGAACUUUGCGGAGAGAAAUACUGUAAAUCACACCAUCUUCGAACUCUUCUCCGAUCUCCUGAGUUGAGCUCUGGAACGAGAAAUGGCAGAAAAAUUGGGCAUUCUGCUUAUUAAGCAGUUAAAACUCAGCUCUGGAUUUCACGGAAAACUCACACACACAAAGAGUUUGUUUCGUUUAUUAAACUUAUACGCUGCUCAUCUCGCCUAGAGACCGUGUUAUUUAUCUCGGGGACAUCAGGGGCAGCCUGCAACUCUACCUUUGCUGCAGGGGGAGGAGGAUGGGAACUGUAGUCCCCAGUAACGAGAGAAAACACAACUGAUCCUGAACAGGAUUAGCUCCCGAUCGGACGUUGCCAUCCGGACUCUGCCACAGCUAGUGCCCUCUGUAGAUGGGUUGGGACUACAACCCCCAUCAUCCUCAACAGGGCAGACUGGUUCUAGGAAUGCUUGUCCAGCCGGGCUUUGAAAGUUGCCGUUCUAACCGAAGGCAGACCGAACUGAAAGAUAAAAUUAUUGAAACCCUUGCAAAUUUAACUGGGUUCCUUGUGAUUCAAAUCUUCCUUAAGCUGUUUAGGGCAAAAAAAAAAAAAAAAA